rnacentral:rRNA from 1 species
CAAGGGGGUCAUCCCGACUUACCAACCCGAUGCAAACUGCGAAUACCGGAGAAUGUUAUCACGGGAGACACACGGCGGGUGCUAACGUCCGUCGUGAAGAGGGAAACAACCCAGACCGCCAGCUAAGGUCCCAAAGUCAUGGUUAAGUGGGAAACGAUGUGGGAAGGCCCAGACAGCCAGGAUGUUGGCUUAGAAGCAGCCAUCAUUUAAAGAAAGCGUAAUAGCUCACUGGUCGAGUCGGCCUGCGCGGAAGAUGUAACGGGGCUAAACCAUGCACCGAAGCUGCGGCAGCGACGCUUAUGCGUUGUUGGGUAGGGGAGCGUUCUGUAAGCCUGUGAAGGUGUGCUGUGAGGUAUGCUGGAGGUAUCAGAAGUGCGAAUGCUGACAUAAGUAACGAUAAAGCGGGUGAAAAGCCCGCUCGCCGGAAGACCAAGGGUUCCUGUCCAACGUUAAUCGGGGCAGGGUGAGUCGACCCCUAAGGCGAGGCCGAAAGGCGUAGUCGAUGGGAAACAGGUUAAUAUUCCUGUACUUGGUGUUACUGCGAAGGGGGGACGGAGAAGGCUAUGUUGGCCGGGCGACGGUUGUCCCGGUUUAAGCGUGUAGGCUGGUUUUCCAGGCAAAUCCGGAAAAUCAAGGCCGAGGCGUGAUGACGAGGCACUACGGUGCUGAAGCAACAAAUGCCCUGCUUCCAGGAAAAGCCUCUAAGCAUCAGGUAACAUCAAAUCGUACCCCAAACCGACACAGGUGGUCAGGUAGAGAAUACCAAGGCGCUUGAGAGAACUCGGGUGAAGGAACUAGGCAAAAUGGUGCCGUAACUUCGGGAGAAGGCACGCUGAUACGUAGGUGAAGCGACUUGCUCGUGGAGCUGAAAUCAGUCGAAGAUACCAGCUGGCUGCAACUGUUUAUUAAAAACACAGCACUGUGCAAACACGAAAGUGGACGUAUACGGUGUGACGCCUGCCCGGUGCCGGAAGGUUAAUUGAUGGGGU